rnacentral:rRNA from 1 species
UAAAGAUUCAUCGCUGAUAGAUAGGCAUGCGUUCCAUUAGGCAGUUGGCGGGGUAACGGCCCACCAAACCGACGAUGGAUAGGGGUUCUGAGAGGAAGGUCCCCCACAUUGGUACUGAGACACGGACCAAACUCCUACGGGAGGCAGCAGUGAGGAAUAUUGGUCAAUGGGCGUAAGCCUGAACCAGCCAAGUCGCGUGAGGGACGAAGGUUCUAUGGAUCGUAAACCUCUUUUAUAAGGGAAUAAAGUGCGGGACGUGUCCCGUUUUGUAUGUACCUUAUGAAUAAGGAUCGGCUAACUCCGUGCCAGCAGCCGCGGUAAUACGGAGGAUCCGAGCGUUAUCCGGAUUUAUUGGGUUUAAAGGGUGCGUAGGCGGCCUUUUAAGUCAGCGGUGAAAGUCUGUGGCUCAACCAUAGAAUUGCCGUUGAAACUGGGAGGCUUGAGUAUGUUUGAGGCAGGCGGAAUGCGUGGUGUAGCGGUGAAAUGCUUAGAUAUCACGCAGAACCCCGAUUGCGAAGGCAGCCUGCCAAGCCAUGACUGACGCUGAUGCACGAAAGCGUGGGGAUCAAACAGGAUUAGAUACCCUGGUAGUCCACGCAGUAAACGAUGAUCACUAGCUGUUUGCGAUACACAGUAA